AACGAACGCUGGCGGCAGGCCUAACACAUGCAAGUCGAACGCCCCGCAAGGGGAGUGCAGACGGGUGAGUAACGCGUGGGAACCUACCCUACGGUCGGGAAUAGCCCGGGGAAACUUGGGGUAAUACCGGAUACGCCCUAACGGGAAAGAUUUAUCGCCGUUGGAGUGGGCCCGCGUCGGAUUAGCUAGCUGGUGAAGGUAACGGCUCACCAAGGCGACGAUCCGUAGCUGGUCUGAGAGGAUGAUCAGCCACACUGGGA
rnacentral:rRNA from 1 species